rnacentral:lncRNA from 1 species
AAGCAAUGUAAGUGAAUAAGUGAAUCUUUCAGCAAAACCUUAUGCUAAUCAAAUCAUGCAUAUUUUGAAGCAUAAAAAAUAUAUUAUUAAAAUAAUAUAAUAAGAUAUUUCUAUCGAAAUAUGUGUUUAAUGAUAAUUCAAUGUUCUCUGUUGUAGAUUCUAAAGAGCAAAACAGGCAAUUCAGCAAGAAACAAGAUUAAUAAGGAAGAUAAUAAGCAACAGGUUGAUGUUAAUUCCAAAGAUGAUAUCGCUGAAAAGAAAAAUGAACCCGUUGAACAAAUACAUAGAAAUGAAGCAUCAGGAAGUUCCAGAAGUAAUUGGAAAACUGCUACAUCUACUGCUAUUGGUACAAGAAAGCGAUACUUCUCUGAAAUUUCAUCAGUUGAAAAAGUAAUCGAUAAAAUAAGCAGAAUUGCUGGAGAAAAUAAAGCUCCAGAAAACGAGUUUGACUAUUUCUGCAGAAGUCUAGCGGUUCAAUUAAAAAAUAUGCCUCUUGAUCGCGCUCUGAUAUGCCAAGAAAAGCUCCAGUCAGUCAUGGUCGAAGAACGUUUGUAUCAGUACAGAAUGAAUCAUCUCCUUAUUCCAUCGCAACAAAAUUCAUCAUCUCAUGCCCACGCAGAACUAUCUGUUUCCUGUUCACCGUAUACUUUGACAUCAUAUUCUCCCAGUAUCAACACGUCAAAUCCUACGCUAUCGCCUGCUGUUCAGGAAGGAAGUGUAUUGUCAGAAGAGUCUUCCUUUGUAGAGUCAACAAAUAUCCCUUGAAGAAGAGAGAAAUGUGCUAUCACAAAUCGGGCUUUCUGUUAUAAAUUACUCGUCAUUAAUUUUUCAUUUUGUAUUUCUCUCAAUAAAUUCAAACUAUUUUUGUCUAUAUUUUAUUUAUUUUAAGAAUCAUUCAAUUGUUUACUUCAUAGAUAGCAGCUGAAACUUCUGAUAAAAAUUGGGAAAUGGGGCAUCUAGGUACAUGAAACAAAUCAAAACAGUCGCCUCUUGUAGGCUAGGUUAAAAGUGCCAAUUGUACAGAGCUAACGAGAAGACGUUUUCUCAUAUUUGUAUAUUUUUUAAAUUAAUGGUGUACUUUUGUAAACAAAUCAUUAAAUUUUACUUGCAUAUUCUCAGGUGAAUUUUGAACAUUUCUAGAUUUUCUGUACCCCAUUCUUUUAAUGAAUAUAUUGAAGCUCUCAUUGUAUUUUGUGGUAAGUUCCGUGCUUUAUACCCAUCAAUGCCUCUCUCCUGAUUUUCCCUCCAGUAAAUUUUAUGCAUCACUUAUCAAAUAUUCAUUAAGUCAGUUCCAACGAGAACAACUUCGCUUGACUCCAUUUUGAAAUAAAUUUAACUAUUACACUUCCGAAAAAUCAUCUAAACAAAAAUUGCUUCAUUCAAUCCAUUAAAUUCGGAUGAUUCAUACAAAAAGUUCAACCUUAGCGAACCGUGUUAACGUGCCUUUUAAGGAAAGUUUCUAGUAUUAUAGUGGCAAUUAAAUCACCCUGUAAGGUUUAUAUAUUGCUACUUGUCACGCUAAAUUUAUUAUAUACUUGUUGUUUGUAUAAAUAUCGAAUAAAAAUAUCGAG